AGAGUUUGAUCCUGGCUCAGGAUGAACGCUGGCGGCGUGCCUUACACAUGCAAGUCGAGCGAGGGCUUUUUGUUAGGGCAACUUAAUGAGAAGUUCCUAGCGGCAAACGGGUGAGUAAUGGAUGGGUAACCUACCCUAAAGAUAGGGAUAGCCUUCCGAAAGGGAGGGUAAUACCUAAUAAUGUUGAUAGACUUCGGUUUAUCAAAGAAAGAUGGCCUCUGUUUUAUGCUAUCACUUUGGGAGGGGCCCAUCUCCUAUCAGCUUGUUGAUGAGGUAACGGCUCACCAAGGCUACGACGGGUAGCUGGUCUGAGAGGAUGAUCAGCCACAUUGGGACUGAGACACAGCCCAGACUCCUACGGGAGGCAGCAGUGGGGAAUAUUGGUCAAUGGACGAAAGUCUGAACCAGCGACGCCGCGUGGAGGA
rnacentral:rRNA from 1 species